rnacentral:rRNA from 1 species
UACGUAGGGCGCAAGCGUUGUCCGGAAUCAUUGGGCGUAAAGAGCUCGUAGGCGGCCUGUCGCGUCCGCUGUGAAAUCCCGGGGCUUAACCCCGGGCGUGCAGUGGAUACGGGCUGGCUGGAGGCAGGCAGGGGAGAACGGAAUUCCCGGUGUAGCGGUGAAAUGCGCAGAUAUCGGGAGGAACACCGGUGGCGAAGGCGGGUCUCUGGGCCGAUACUGACACUGAGGAGCGAAAGCGUGGGGAGCGAACAGG